rnacentral:lncRNA from 10 species
GGUGGAAUGGAAUUGAAUGGACUGGAGUGGAAUGUAGUGGACAGGAGUGGAAUGGAAUGUAAUGGGAAGGAAUGGAAUUGAACGGAGUGGAGUACAGUGGAAUGGAGAAAAGUAGUGUGGAAAGGAAUGGAGUGGAAUGUGAUGGAGUGGAAUGGAGUGGAAUGGAAUGGAAUGGAACAGAGUGGAGUGGAGUGGAGUGAAAUGGAGUGGAGUGGAGUGCAAUGGAGUGGAGGGGAAUGGAAUGGAGUGGAGUAGAAUGGAAUUUAAUGGAGUGGAGUGGAAUUGAGUGGAAUGGAGAUGGAGUGGAAUGGAGUGGAAUGGAAUGGGGAGGAAUGGAAUUGAAUGGAGUGCAGUGGAGCGAAGUGGAGUGUAUUGGAGUGGACUGGAGUGCAGUGAAGUGGAGUGGAGUGGAUUGGAGUGGAAUUGAGUGGAGUGGAGGGGAAUGGAAUGGAAUGGAAUGGAAUUGCAUGGAAUCAAAUCGAAUC